GACGUAGGGCGCGAGCGUUGUCCGGAUUUAUUGGGCGUAAAGAGCUCGUAGGCGGCUUGUCGCGUCGACUGUGAAAUCCCGCGGCUCAACUGCGGGUCUGCAGUCGAUACGGGCAGGCUAGAGUUCGGUAGGGGAGACUGGAAUCCUGGUGUAGCGGUGAAAUGCGCAGAUAUCAGGAGGAACACCGGUGGCGAAGGCGGCUCGCUGGAUAGGCACUGACACUCAACUACGAAAGCGUGGGGAGCAAACAGG
rnacentral:rRNA from 1 species